GCGGGAUUGGCGGAAUUGGCAGACGCGCUAGACUUAGGAUCUAGUGGGAAUUUCUCGUGAAGGUUCGACUCCUUUAUCCCGCACCA
rnacentral:tRNA from 2 species